CAGGGAAUAGUUUAAUUAGAAUGUCAGCUUUG
rnacentral:tRNA from 1 species